rnacentral:rRNA from 1 species
UAACGAGAUGGUUCUCUAUGAGGCCCAUCAUCGGAAUGGGUACAAUUUAAACCCUUUAACGAGGAUCUAUUGGAGGGCAAGUCUGGUGCCAGCAGCCGCGGUAAUUCCAGCUCCAAUAGCAUAUGCCAACGUUGUUGCUGUUAAAAAGCUCGUAGUUGGAUUUUUUCUGAGGAUGGAGUCGGUCUGACGGACCUGUACUCUAUUCCAAGGAUAUAAUCGCUGGUCUUCCCAUGGUUCUCUUUAUUGGGUGCCUUGGGUGGCUAGCACGUUUACUUUGAAAAAAUUAGAGUGCUCAAAACAGGCGUUACUGCCCGUAUAGUGGUGCAUGGAAUAAUGGAAUAGGAUCUCGGUUCUAUUUUGUUGGUUUUAGGAGCGCGAGAUAAUGAUUAAGAGGGACAGACGGGGGCAUUCGUAUUGCGGCGUUAGAGGUGAAAUUCUUGGAUCGCCGCAAGACGAACAAUUGCGAAAGCAUUUGCCAAGAAUGUUUUCAUUAAUCAAGAACGAAAGUUAGAGGUUCGAAGGCGAUCAGAUACCGCCCUAGUUCUAACCGUUAACGAUGCCAAUUAGCGAUCUGCUGGCGUUAAUCAUGACCCAGCAGGCAGCUUCCCGGAAACGAAAAUCUUUCGGUUCAGGGGGAAGUAUGGUUGCAAAGCUGAAACUUAAAGGAAUUGACGGAAGGGCACCACCAGAUGUGGAGCCUGCGGCUUAAUUUGACCCAACACGGGAAAACUCACCCGGCCCGGACACUGUAAGGAUUGACAGAUUGAUAGCUCUUUCUUGAUUCAGUGGGUGGUGGUGCAUGGCCGUUCUUAGUUGGUGGAGCGAUUUGUCUGGUUAAUUCCGAUAACGAACGAGACUCUAGCCUGCUAAAUAGUCUGCAGAUCGCACAGUCUGCAGUACUUCUUAGAGGGACAAGCGGCAUUUAGCCGCACGAAAAUGAGCAAUAACAGGUCUGUGAUGCCCUUAGAUGUCCGGGGCUGCACGCGCGCUACACUGAAGGAAUCAACAUGCUUGUUUCCUUGUCUGAAAGGACUGGGUAACCCUUUGAAACUCCUUCGUGCUUGGGAUAGGGAAUUGCAAUUAUUUCCCUUGAACGAGGAAUAUCCAGUAGGUGUGGGUCAUAAGCUCGCGUUGAUUACGUCCCUGCCCUUUGUACACACCGCCCGUCGCUACGAGGGAGUGGACCAUUUACUGAAGUCUUUGGACUGGAGUGUUGUUGGUUUUACCGAUAUCACUUCGGAAAUUAGCCUAAAGUUGAUGGUCU